GGAAUAUUGGUCAAUGGGCGUGAGCCUGAACCAGCCAAGUAGCGUGCAGGAUGACUGCCCUAUGGGUUGUAAACUGCUUUUAUCGGGGGAUAAAGUGAGGGACGUGUCCCUUUUUGUAGGUACCCGAUGAAUAAGGACCGGCUAAUUCCGUGCCAGCAGCCGCGGUAAUACGGAAGGUCCGGGCGUUAUCCGGAUUUAUUGGGUUUAAAGGGAGCGCAGGCUGAUGAUUAAGCGUGACGUGAAAUGUAGCCGCUCAACGGCUGAACUGCGUCGCGAACUGGUUAUCUUGAGUGAGUUCGAUGUUGGCGGAAUUCGUGGUGUAGCGGUGAAAUGCUUAGAUAUCACGAAGAACUCCGAUUGCGAAGGCAGCCAACAAGGCCUUUACUGACGCUAAAGCUCGAAGGUGCGGGUAUCGAACA
rnacentral:rRNA from 1 species